AGCGGCGGACGGGUGAGUAACGCGUGGGUAACCUGCCCUAUACACACGGAUAACAUACCGAAAGGUAUGCUAAUACGGGAUAAUAUAAGAGAUUCGCAUGGAUUUCUUAUCAAAGCUGAGGCGGUAUAGGAUGGACCCGCGUCUGAUUAGCUAGUUGGUAAGGUAACGGCUUACCAAGGCGACGAUCAGUAGCCGACCUGAGAGGGUGAUCGGCCACAUUGGAACUGAGACACGGUCCAAACUCCUACGGGAGGCAGCAGUGGGGAAUAUUGCACAAUGGGCGAAAGCCUGAUGCAGCAACGCCGCGUGAGUGAUGAAGGCCUUCGGGUCGUAAAACUCUGUCCUCAAGGAAGAUAAUGACGGUACUUGAGGAGGAAGCCCCGGCUAACUACGUGCCAGCAGCCGCGGUAAUACGUAGGGGGCUAGCGUUAUCCGGAUUUACUGGGCGUAAAGGGUGCGUAGGUGGUCUCUUAAGUCAGGAGUGAAAGGCUACGGCUUAACCGUAGUAAGCUCUUGAAACUGGGAGACUUGAGUGCAGGAGAGGAAAGUGGAAUUCCUAGUGUAGCGGUGAAAUGCGUAGAUAUUAGGAGGAACACCAGUAGCGAAGGCGGCUUUCUGGACUGUAACUGACACUGAGGCACGAAAGCGUGGGGAGCAAACAGGAUUAGAUACCCUGGUAGUCCACGUCGUAAACGAUGAGUACUAGGUGU
rnacentral:rRNA from 1 species